rnacentral:rRNA from 1 species
UGGCGGACGGGUGAGUAACGCGUGGGGAACCUGCCCUGUACAGGGGGAUAACACUUAGAAAUAGGUGCUAAUACCGCAUAAGCGCACAGUAUCGCAUGAUACAGUGUGAAAAACUCCGGUGGUACAGGAUGGAACCCGCGUCUGAUUAGCUGGUUGGCGGGGUAACGGCCCACCAAGGCGACGAUCAGUAGCCGGCCUGAGAGGGUGAACGGCCACAUUGGGACUGAGACACGGCCCAAACUCCUACGGAAGGCAGCAG